CCCGACUUGCUUCUGCGAGCCGCUGGGGAGCAAGGAACGGACGUGUCAACUGCGGGAUCGGCUGUUACAUUCUGGAGGCUUGACUUCAUGCCGAUCGUGGAUGAAGGAGGCAGAGUCCCCUUCCGGGAGCUGCUGACGGCCACCAGCUAGAAGGCAUAAGCCUCGGACUCGGCCGAUGCCAUCCUCCAGCUCGAGACACGAUGGGGACCAAGUGGGGCAAAGACAAAGGAGCAGCUGGACUUCAUCGUGGUGAAGGCCGCUGUUCUCCCGAGUGCGGGGGGCAGUGGCGCGUCCGGCUGUCUGUCGGUGCCCUGGGUUGCAUCCUGACCGAUUCCCUGGCGUAUUGUUUUACAGGAGCAGGUUAGGACUCGAACUAGCGACCGCUUUCACUUGUGAACCAUUUAAUGAUCUGCUCACAAACCGUUUUCUUCCUGCCCCCGAGUUGGGAACCCUGGAUUUAGAAACUGUCGGACCCUCGGGGUGAGGGCUGCUUGCUUCCACCCGCAAACACAACAGUGCUCCCCCUGCAUUGAAGCCCCGACUGCCUCCUGGGAUAUCAGUCACUGCAAAUCACUGGAAGAGGGAGCUGUGCCCGUGACCAUCUUGGAGGAGAGAACUGGGUGGGGCCCAGCGACCCUAGCCCUGGGACAGGAAGCAGAGACUGGAGACUUCCUGCUUUUGAGAGAGAGAGAGAGGCAGAGGGAGAGGGAGACACAGAAUCCAAAGGAGGCUCCAUGCUCUAAGCUGUCAGCCACGGGGCUCGAACCCACGAACCAUGAGAUCAUGACCUGAGCUGAAGUCGGACGCUUAACCAGGAUAGCGGGGGCACGGCUUAAACCCCUGUAGUUAUAAUCUGUUCACCUGUCACGAAUCUGGUCCCGGGACGUGCGGUAGGCAGGAUCUCCCGGAGCUCCUGGCGGCUUCCAGAAUCCCCCCAAACCACUGCUGGGGGACAGGGCAGCGCUCAGACGGAGUCGCAAAGGAACCCCUUUUAGAGGUGCAAUCCACAAUCGAGUAAUGACAGCAGGCUUUUUAUUCACAGUUUUAGCCUAAUUCUGUAUAAAGGACGGGAAAGAAGGAUUUUUAACCCCAGGAAUCUAUGAAGAUGGGGACAGGGGGAGUCGGACACCUCCUGUGAAUGAAAUUGCCUUUCAGUUUCUAGGUUUCGUGGAUUUUUAUUCGGUCCAAUAAAAACACCACCACGAGAAUAGCUUUUGUUUUUGUAAUUACCAUGCUGCUGCCUGUUCCCUUACCCACUCCCCCCCCCCCGCCCCGCCCUUGGUGGGGGGCUCCCUUUGAUUGAAUGGAUACGUUGUAAUUACCUCUAAAUCCUAAAGUGAAAUGCAAGCUUAAAGUGAAUCACAUUUUCCUUUUUGUUUUCUUCUGUUAAUUUGUCGGUAGGAAAGACGAUUACCCUCUAACGACUUUUGAACCAAAAAUAAUGAAUAAAUAAAAUAAAUAGUAAUAUUUGAUUAUGUCGCCAUUGUGUGCUCAGAUUUUUGUACAGGCAUCUGAAAAGUCAUAAUGAGACUUGAGACGCACUUACUCGCUUAUUUCAACAGAUGUCAAUUUACAUUUUGGAAUAUGCUUACUAUACUCAGAAUAUGGCAGAUACCAUCACAAACACCGAGAAUAAUUUUGGAAUUCUCCCAGAAUAAUUUAUGGAAACAUUAAAUCUUGCUUCUUCCGCCCACAUCGUCCCCCUCCUCUCUCAUUUUAUUCUCGCCACCCAGCUCCGUAAUUCCUUGCCUGUGGCUCUCCACCGGGCUUCCUCCAAGACAAGAAGCCUGACGCCAGUCUCCAAGAGCGAUUCUGGUUUGUUUGAGGGCAAGAGAGAAAGAGGGGCAGGAGACAGCAGUGCCCAAGAAGGUGACAAGGUCUCAAAAGGAGGGUGGCCUGUGCACCUGAGGGGGCUGCGUGUGGACGGGACUCGCCGGGACCCCGCACAGGGGCCGCUGGAGACUUGGUGUGACCCUGGAUCCCGGAGGGACGAGAACGAUGAGGGUUUCAUCUGCCUGCCGCCGGAGCCUGGAAUGUCACCUGAGCGGAUUUACCGAAAGUAAAAACACGCAAGAUGCCGUAACAUUUCCCGCACCCCCGAGUUUGGGAAGCUGAGGCCAGCCGACACGUGCUACACAGCUGGUGGUGUUCUACACUCGCAGGUGUUUGUGGCUGUGCACUUCCCCAUCCUCGGAUUUGCUCACCUCCGCCAGCUUCCCGUGUGUCCCCCCCCUUGGAGCUGUGACCACCGACGCCUCCUUAUUCAACAACAGUCCAGACUUUCUGUCCCUCCAGCUCAAUUCAGCAGCCCACCCCACGUUUUCCUAGGUCACUGGGAAGCCAGAGGCAGCCCUUCGCAGCUGGUUUCUGCCAAUUCUUGCCUUGAGUUUCCUCCUCGUUCGGGUCAGACUCCAGCCUGUGACAGGCGCCACGCACAGACCCUCCACGGUGCAGAUCCUUCUAGACCGAACCCCACCUAACACCAGCGGAAGCCUUCCUGUGAACACAACAGCAGGAACCCAUCUAGUCACCGGACUCGCCAGACUCACUUUGAGAUUUUGGUCCCUCACGAGACGCAGACAUGUGACACUUC